ACACAUGCAGUCGAACGAUGACGGAGGAGCUUGCUCCUCCUGAUUAGUGGCGAACGGGUGAGUAAUACGUGAGCAAUGUGCCCUUGACUCUGGGAUAAGCGCUGGAAACGGCGUCUAAUACCGGAUACGACGAUCGGAGGCAUCUCCUGGUCGUGGAAAGAAYUUCGGUCAAGGAUCAGCUCACGGCCUAUCAGUUAGUUGGUGAGGUAAUGGCUCACCAAGACGACGACGGGUAGCCGGCCUGAGAGGGUGACCGGCCACACUGGGACUGAGACACGGCCCAGACUCCUACGGGAGGCAGCAGUGGGGAAUAUUGCACAAUGGGCGCAAGCCUGAUGCAGCAACGCCGCGUGAGGGACGAAGGCCUUCGGGUUGUAAACCUCUUUUAGCAGGGAAGAAGCGAAAGUGACGGUACCUGCAGAAAAAGCACCGGCUAACUACGUGCCAGCAGCCGCGGUAAUACGUAGGGUGCAAGCGUUGUCCGGAAUUAUUGGGCGUAAAGAGCUCGUAGGCGGUUUGUCACGUCUGCUGUGAAAACCCGAGGCUCAACCUCGGGCUUGCAGUGGGUACGGGCAGACUAGAGUGCGGUAGGGGAGAUUGGAAUUCCUGGUGUAGCGGUGGAAUGCGCAGAUAUCAGGAGGAACACCGAUGGCGAA
rnacentral:rRNA from 1 species